GGACUACACGGGUAUCUAAUCCCAUUCGCGACCCACGCUUUCGUGUUUCAGCGUCAGGAGCGGACCAGUCUCUUGCCUUCGCUUUUGGUGUUCCCCAUGAUAUCAACGCAUUUCACCGCUACACCAUGAGUUCCAGAGACCUCUUCCGUCCUCAAGCCCUGCCGUUUCCCGCGCGGCAUUCCGGUUGAGCCGGAAUAUUUAACGCGAGACUAACAGAGCCGCCUACACACCCUUUACGCCCAAUGAUUUCGGAUAACGCUUGAAGCACUCGUAUUACCGCGGCUGCUGGCAC
rnacentral:rRNA from 1 species